GUUUAUUUCGUCAUCGGUUUCAAGAUGUCAGCCAAAUCAGAUGAUUUAGAUUUUAACCCUUUUUACAAACAGUUGCAGUUAACAUUUCGGAAUAAAUUUCUUGAAGCGCAAAAGAAAUGCUGGAUAAUAUGCGUGCCACAGAAAAAUUCAGUAAAAAAUGACAUUAAGGUUACAAAACAUUUCAUUGGUAAGUUUAAAAUUUAGUUUCAGUAUUAAGUCACUAUGAUUAAAAUUUUAGUAUUUUUAUGCUUUAGUUUGUUAAUAGAUAAUCAUUCAUUGCCUGAAGAUCUUUUAGAUUCAUGUUAUGGCUAAUGGGAAUAUUAGUCUGUUAUAGAUCUAAAGCUGUCAUUGUUAUCAACACCAAGUUUGUUUGUACCCCAAAAUUCAUUCUGUUCUGGGGUUUAUGAAUCUUUUGUCC